rnacentral:rRNA from 1 species
UAGUGAUAGCUGGUAGUUCAAGAAAAGAGUCUUAGCUCUGCCUUAAGUUUUUUUAUUACACCAAACAAACCCAAAGCUUAAGAGUUAUUCAAAUUAGGUACAGCUUAUUUGAAACAGGACACAACCUCUCCCAUUGGGUAAAGAAGGGCAAUAAAAAUAAAGUGGGCCCAAAAGCAGCCACCUUUAAAAUAGCGUCAAAGCUUAACUACACAGCCCCCAAUCACUUAAACACCCCCAACCCCUAAUCCAUAUUGAACCAUUUUAUAUUAUUAUAAAAAUGAUCAUGCUAGAACUAGUAACAAGAACUUGCCCUUCUCCUCAUGUAAGCAUAAACCAAAACGGACACUCCGUUGGUGAUCAACGUAAAUGCCAAACUAUAACAACAAAUACCAGAAAACCUUAUAGCAACCAACGUUAUCCUAACACCAGAACAUCUCAGGAAAGAUUAAAAGAGAGAGAAGGAACUCGGCAAAUUUUAGCCCCGCCUGUUUACCAAAAACAUCGCCUCCUGACAACAUAGGAGGUCCAGCCUGCCCAGUGAUAACAUUCAACGGCCGCGGUAUACUAACCGUGCGAAGGUAGCAUAAUCACUUGUUCUUUAAAUAAGGACUUGUAUCAACGGCAUCACGAGGGCUAUACUGUCUCCCCUCUCCAAUCAGUGAAACUGAUCUCCCCGUGAAGAAGCGGGGAUUUAUAUAUAAGACGAGAAGACCCCAUGGAGCUUUAAACCCAAUAUACACCCCUUCGCUCAAACCAAUUUAACCUAAAGGGCCUGUAUAUCGGUUUUAGGCUGGGGGGGCCACGGAGUAAAAUUAAACCUCCACAACAAAUGGGCUAAUACCCUUAUCCACGAUUUACAAAUCUAAGAAUCAUCAAAAUGAUGUUUAAUGACCCGAUAAUUCGAUCAUUGAACCAAGUUACCCUGGGGAUAACAGCGCAAUCCACUUCAAGAGCCCAUAUCGACAAGCGGGUUUACGACCUCGAUGUUGGAUCAGGGUAUCCCAGUGGUGCAACCGCUACUAACGGUUCGUUUGUUCAACGAUUAAAACCCU